rnacentral:piRNA from 1 species
UAAUUUCAAUUUCUGAUUUGAUGAGGGUGU